AGAGUUUGAUCCUGGCUCAGAAUCAACGCUGGCGGCGUGCCUAACACAUGCAAGUCGAACGAGAAAGUGGAGCAAUCCAUGAGUAAAGUGGCGCACGGGUGAGUAACACGUGACUAACCUACCCUUGAGUGGGGGAUAACCUAGGGAAACCUGGGCUAAUACCGCAUAAUACCUACGGGUCAAAGGAGCAAUUCGCUCGAGGAGGGGGUCGCGGCCGAUUAGUUAGUUGGCGGGGUAAUGGCCCACCAAGACUAUGAUCGGUAUCCGGCCUGAGAGGGCGCACGGACACACUGGAACUGAAACACGGUCCAGACUCCUACGGGAGGCAGCAGUGGGGAAUUUUGCGCAAUGGGGGAAACCCUGACGCAGCAACGCCGCGUGGAGGAUGAAGUACUUCGGUACGUAAACUCCUUUCGAUCGGGACGAUUAUGACGGUACCGAGAGAAGAAGCCCCGGCUAACUUCGUGCCAGCAGCCGCGGUAAUACGAGGGGGGCGAGCGUUGUUCGGAAUUAUUGGGCGUAAAGGGUGCGUAGGCGGUUUGGUAAGUCUGAUGUGAAAUCUAUGGGCUCAACUCAUAGUCUGCAUCGGAAACUGCCGGGCUUGAGUAUGGGAGAGGUGAGUGGAAUUCCUGGUGUAGCGGUGAAAUGCGUAGAUAUCAGGAGGAACACCUGUGGCGAAAGCGGCUCACUGGACCAUAACUGACGCUGAUGCACGAAAGCUAGGGGAGCAAACAGGAUUAGAUACCCUAGUAGUCC
rnacentral:rRNA from 1 species